GCUGUUCUCUCCAGAAGGUGAACUGGCUGAAGGUGUCACUGCAGGGGAAAUCACAAGAACCUCUGCGCUUCAGGAGCGGGAAAACAUGAUCCACGACCUCACCUAGACGCACGUACCUGCACAGGACAUGCUGAACCGCCUGAGACUAAAUCCUGCAAACACAAAGGACUCACACUUAAGGACUUCACAUAAAGACACAAACCCUUGAAACAAAGCCCAUGGUGAUGAGGUGUACAUAUCUGAGUACCGGUUUAGUGCUGUUUGUUCUUCCUCGCCAUGAAAACCACCAUUUUCCUUGAUUUCUGGGCAUUUUCUCCUUCAUAAGUCUCUCUAUGGUGGCCUGUGAGGGACAUGCGCACAGGCGUAAUGCUCAACAACUGAAAAACUCUCAGACACCGAAGCCACAAAGAAUCAAACAAAUGCUGGGCUCUCAUGCAGGGAAGAGGAUUGAUAGAAACUAGUGCAACGAACUGAAGAAGUAAAGAAACGAGUCCUCCACACAGAGAGAUGGCCAUAGAGGGAAUGUCUUCACUGUCCACGCCGCUGUCGGCUCCCGAGCUGCACAUGGACUGAGGAGACACAGUCUCACUGCGGACGCUGUUCUCACCACAAUGCUCUGAAC